rnacentral:ncRNA from 1 species
GAAUAGCGUGGAGUAAUAGGUGUAAAUUGCGUGCAAUUUACUUAAAAGGGAAGUCGGUGCAAAUCCGACACUGUCCCGCAACUGUAAAUGUGAGCGACUUUUCAUAGACCACUGUUUAACGACGGGAAGGCGAAAAGUAGCGAUGACCAUAAGUCAGGAUACCUGCCUAUUAUGAGUACACACC